rnacentral:rRNA from 1 species
GACGAACGCUGGCGGCGUGCCUAACACAUGCAAGUCGAGCGAUGAAAUCCCUUCGGGGAUGGAUUAGCGGCGGACGGGUGAGUAACACGUGGGUAACCUGCCUCAAAGUGGGGGAUAGCCUUCCGAAAGGAAGAUUAAUACCGCAUAAUAUUAGAUUUUCGCAUGAAGAACUAAUUAAAGGAGCAAUCCGCUUUGAGAUGGACCCGCGGCGCAUUAGCUAGUUGGUGAGGUAAUAGCUCACCAAGGCGACGAUGCGUAGCCGACCUGAGAGGGUGAUCGGCCACAUUGGAACUGAGACACGGUCCAGACUCCUACGGGAGGCAGCAGUGGGGAAUAUUGCACAAUGGGGGAAACCCUGAUGCAGCAACGCCGCGUGAGUGAUGAAGGUCUUCGGAUUGUAAAGCUCUGUCUUUUGGGACGAUAAUGACGGUACCAAAGGAGGAAGCCACGGCUAACUACGUGCCAGCCGCCGCAGUAAAAC